rnacentral:rRNA from 1 species
AUGAGAUCACCAGCCAUUCACAACAACGCUACUUCUCAUGGCGGCGAAGCGAGAUCAACGGCGCUGCCCACGGCGGCGGUGGCGGCCGCAGCAAAGAGAGAUCAAUGGCGCUACCCAUGGCGGCAGUGGUGGCGGCGGCGAAGAGAGAUCGGCGGCGCUCGGCGGCGAAUGGAGAUCGGCGGCGCUGAAUUGAGACGGCGAUGGUACUGCUUCGCUGCUGCUUGGUCCUCGAGGUGGAGAAAUGACCACUGCUUGGUCCUCGUGGUGAAGGAAACGAUCAGCACCAGCGGUGUUAUUCGAUACCAGGCUUUAUCGGGUGUUUUCAGUUUUGUGAAGGAUGGUUUGCGAUUACAUGGGACUUGA